GAUUCCCAUCACCCGCUCCA
rnacentral:tRNA from 1 species